rnacentral:rRNA from 1 species
AUUGAACGCUGGCGGCAUGCCUUACACAUGCAAGUCGAACGGCAGCACGGGAGCAAUCCUGGUGGCGAGUGGCGAACGGGUGAGUAAUAUAUCGGAACGUGCCCAGUCGUGGGGAUAACGUAGCGAAAGCUACGCUAAUACCGCAUACGAUCUAUGGAUGAAAGCGGGGGAUCGCAAGACCUCGCGCGAUUGGAGCGGCCGAUAUCAGAUUAGGUAGUUGGUGAGGUAAAGGCUCACCAAGCCGACGAUCUGUAGCUGGUCUGAGAGGACGACCAGCCACACUGGGACUGAGACACGGCCCAGACUCCUACGGGAGGCAGCAGUGGGGAAUUUUUGGACAAUGGGCGCAAGCCUGAUCCAGCAAAUGCCGCGUGCAGGAUGAAGGCCU